rnacentral:rRNA from 1 species
AACGAACGCUGGCGGCAUGCCUAACGCAUGCAAGUCGAACGAGACCUUCGGGUCUAGUGGCGCACGGGUGCGUAACGCGUGGGAACCUGCCCUUAGGUUCGGAAUAACUCCCCGAAAGGGGUGCUAAUACCGGAUAAUGUCUUCGGACCAAAGAUUUAUCGCCUUUGGAUGGGCCCGCGUUGGAUUAGCUAGUUGGUAGGGUAAAAGCCUACCAAGGCGACGAUCCAUAGCUGGCCUGAGAGGAUGAUCAGCCACACUGGGACUGAGACACGGCCCAGACUCCUACGGGAGGCAGCAGUGGGGAAUAUUGGACAAUGGGCGAAAGCCUGAUCCAGCAAUGCCGCGUGAGUGAUGAAGGCCUUAGGGUUGUAAAGCUCUUUUACCCGGGAUGAUAAUGACAGUACCGGGAGAAUAAGCUCCGGCUAACUCCGUG